rnacentral:rRNA from 1 species
CGCCUGUUUAUCAAAAACAUCGCCUCCUGAUAACCUAUAGGAGGUCCAGCCUGCCCAGUGACCUAGUUUAACGGCCGCGGUAUCCUAACCGUGCGAAGGUAGCGUAAUCACCUGUUUUUUAAUUGAAGACCUGUAUGAAUGGCAUCACGAGAAUCACACUGUCUCCUUUUUCUAAUCAGUGAAACUAAUCUCCCCGUGAAAAAGCGGGGAUAAAAAUACAAGACGAGAAGACCCUUUGGAGCUUAAGACAAUGUAACAAUUUUGUUUUCUUAAUUAACUCUAUCCCAUAAAAACAUUUAUUUACUAGUCUUUGGUUGGGGCAACCGCGGAGCAAAAAAUAACCUCCAAGUUGAACGGAAUUUUCCUAAACUAAAAGCCACACCUUUAUGUAUCAACAUAUUGACAUUCAUGACCCAAUUUUUUUUUGAUUAUCGAACCAAGUUACCCUAGGGAUAACAGCGCAAUCCACCUCAAGAGUUCGUAUCGACAGGUGGGCUUACGACCUCGAUGUUGGAUCAAGGUAUCCUAGUGGUGCAGCCGCUACUAAAGGUUCGUUUGUUCAACGAUUAAAACCUCACGUGAUCUGAGUUCAAACCGGA